rnacentral:rRNA from 1 species
AGUGAACGCUGGCGGUAGGCCUAACACAUGCGAGUCGAACGGCAGCACAGUAAGAGCUUGCUCUUACGGGUGGCGAGUGGCGGACGGGUGAGGAAUACAUCGGAAUCUACUUUUUCGUGGGGGAUAACGUAGGGAAACUUACGCUAAUACCGCAUACGACCUACGGGUGAAAGCAGGGGAUCUUCGGACCUUGCGCGAUUGAAUGAGCCGAUGUCGGAUUAGCUAGUUGGCGGGGUAAAGGCCCACCAAGGCGACGAUCCGUAGCUGGUCUGAGAGGAUGAUCAGCCCCACUGGAACUGAGACACGGUCCAGACUCCUACGGGAGGCAGCAGUGGGGUAUAUUGGACAAUGGGCGCAAGCCUGAUCCAGCCAUACCGCGUGGGUGAAGAAGGCCUUCGGGUUGUAAAGCCCUUUUGUUGGGAAAGAAAAGCAGCAGGUUAAUACCCCGCUGUUCUGACGGUACCCAAAGAAUAAGCACCGGCUAACUUCGUG